CAAGCAUCAUUCCAAGAAAGUGAAUGGAGUUAUAUGGGUUAUGCUGGGGUUGGAGCAUGAGGAGGAUCUGGCUGCAAUAAUUAGUGUUGUUCAGUUGACCUACAGAUUGGGACAGCAGAAAUCUCUGCACUUGCUGAAGUGACUGUACCAAGGUCUUGCUGUCAGGGUGAGGGGCAACCCCAGAACCCCUCUCUGCUGGGAAGUUGGAUUUUGCCACCUGAAAGGUUGUCUGGUUUGCCUGAAGGGAAGCUGUCAGCGAUGGCCCAGUAUCAUGCUUUUCACCCAGAAGAAGUUCCCAAAUCCAAGGCUGCAAAUGGUGAUCCUUGGUCAGGAGAAGAGCAGAGCAGCAGCUAAGUGGUGCGUGAGCUGACGGGCCUCACAUCAACUGUGCCAUGCUGAACCAUGUAAGUCAGGCUGGGAGAGCAGCGUAUUGAUCACCGUUAUCUUCUCAGGAAUUCUGUAAAUAGCGCACUAUUUCACACACAUUUGGACUAGAGCAUCCAAUACACACUCUACUGUCAGGGUUUUCUUCUGAAAAACAGUUCCGUUUUAGCGUGAAUCUAUGAAUAUAUUUUGCAUAUAGCUUCAAUGCAAUAACAAGAUAGCAAGUAACUUACACCAUGCAGCUGCAUUUGGGGAAAAUUCACUUGCAAUUUCAGAUUAAGAUGCUUAGGAUUGCUAGGCCAUCUUGUUGCCAGAAAGCCACUUAAUUUUUGUUGAAUCAGAUAUAAAUAAUUGCACUAACCAUUCUAGUAUUCCCUACAAUUACUUGUUAUUGUGCAGAAACCUAGUGAAGGUGGAGUGUCCUGUGUACAGCUUCUGAUGUGCUUUUUAUGUCAGUAAAAAUCUGAAUUGGUGCCUGCAAAUUCAAAUUAUCUCAC